UCUUCCUGCUGUGACCACACUGGUUACAGCCCAUUUCCUGCCCUUCACCACUGCGCAGCUGCUUACUUGACGUUUUGGGAAGUGUGGUCUGUUGUGAUCCCGGGAGCUGGGGCUUUGCCCUCAAACUCUGGUCACAGCCAGAGUGUGGUGAAAAGAGGACUACCUGGUUCUGUUGGCUUUUGCAAAGCACUUUGUCAGUCAAGGCUCUUUCUCAAGAGCCUUCAACAGAGUUUCACUAAGUCCUUAUGUUGUCCAGACUGGGCUCAAAUUUGCAACCUUCCUUCCUCAGCCUUCUACAGUGCUGGAUUUGCAGCCUUGAAAAAGACAGGAGUGUGGGAUCAGGUCCCAUUGUGAUGGGCAAGAGUAGGAGGUGACAGAAGAUUGAAGCUCUGCUAAGGACUGCAGCUCCUUUGGGACAUGUUCCCUUGUUCAGGUUCUCAUGACCUUGCCUGAGACAAGCAAACGAGAUAGAGUCUUAAGACUAUUUUGCAUUCUGAAUGGUUAUUCUGAUCAUGAAUGAUAACAACAAUGCUGAAGACUAGCAGAAGCCAGGCCUGGCCGGGUUGUGUGAGAGAAGGAAGGAGAACAGAUUUGGACUGUGGUGAAAUGGGUCCCUCUCCUGGCUAAUGUAUAUGAAAGCAUGGGCUUUAAAAAACCAUCAACCGAAGCUGUUUCACAUAUAGGCUGUAUAAGAACUAAAAUGCUGAGUGGAGGGACGAACAUCCUCUCAUGUCCCCUGGGAGCCACAGGCUGAAUAAUGAGGAGCUUCCUUGGAAUAUUUACUUUUAACCAAGAAAACUGUCUCACAUGCCAUCAAGGAUACUGUCUUAAAAAUAAUCUGUUUUUACUAAUGAUGAA